rnacentral:rRNA from 1 species
GAUGAACGCUGGCGGCGUGCCUAAUACAUGCAAGUCGAGCGAACAGACGAGGAGCUUGCUCCUCUGACGUUAGCGGCGGACGGGUGAGUAACACGUGGAUAACCUACCUAUAAGACUGGGAUAACUUCGGGAAACCGGAGCUAAUACCGGAUAAUAUAUUGAACCGCAUUGUUCAAUAGUGAAAGACGGUUUUGCUGUCACUUAUAGAUGGAUCCGCGCCGCAUUAGCUAGUUGGUACGGUAACGGCUUACCAAGGCGACGAUGCGUAGCCGACCUGAGAGGGUGGUCGGCCACACGGGAACGGAGACGCGGUCCAGGCGCCUACGGUAGGCAGCAGUAGGGAAUCUUCCGCAAUGGGCGAAAGCCUGGCGGAACAACGCGGAGUGAGAGAUGAAGGUCUUCGGAUCGUAAAACUCUGUUAUUAGGGAAGAACAAAUGUGUAAGUAAAUAUGCACGUCUUGACGGUACCUAAUCAGAAAGCCACGGCUAACUACGUG